UAUCCGGCGGCCGGAUAUCCCGCCAUCGAAAUCGGGUUUAUUCGACGUCUUUCGUUUAAAAUUCGAGAUUAUAUCGAGCGGGGGCAUGUCGUGGCGUCGGUUCCAUAUUAGUUUAGUUUCUGCGUAGUUGGACCGGGCGCGUGUUGUUGGUGACGUUUCAAAAUCGGUUUAGUUCCUGCGUAGAGUGCAGAUAGUUUUAUUGUUUAGAAGUUCUAAAUAUGUCGUCGAACACAAAAAGGUCGCCAAUAUGGCAAUAUUUUGACAUAAAUAAGGACAACAAUAGGUUGGCUGACUGUUUGCUGUGCCAGCUUCAAAUAUCUCGGGGCGGAGAAGGAAAAAAGGCUGGUACUUCCGCCAUGACUAACCACGUAAAAUCAAAACAUCCCGAGAAGUUUGCUUUGCUUAACAAAGCUAAAGGCAAAGAAGAAACUACCAUGCUUGAGAAGUCUGGUGCCUCUAGUACAAGUUCGUUUUUGAGAACGACAGAAAAGCAGCUAACUUUAUCAGAAUGCGUUGAGAGAAAACAAGUUUGGAAUAUUAAUGAUUUAAAGGCAAAAAAAUAUCAUUAUUUAAGUGCAGAAAUGAUUGCACUAGAUAAUGAGCCGCUAGGUAUAGUGGAAAGAGUUGGAUUUAAAAGACUUCUUCAACAUGCUUUACCUCGCUAUGAAUUACCAAGUCGCACAUAUAUAACCCAAAAAAUUAUUCCAGAUAUCUACAACAGAAUUAUUAAAAAAUCAAAGGAAGCAUUUCAAAUGCUGUCGCAAUUUCUGUCACUUCUGAUAUAUGGACUGUGCGCAUAAAAACUCUAGCUUUCUGAGUUUCACAGCCCAUUGGGUGUCUCCGGAAUUCCAACUUCAACACGAAGUUCUUGCUAUGAAACCAUUCUCCGGAGCCCACACAGGGGAAAACAUAGCAAAUGAACUCAAUGCUAUUGCAGCUCGAUGUGAUAUUCACCAAGACCAAAUACAUGUACUUGUUCAUAUCAGCGGUGCAAACAUGGUGAAAGGUGUUCGCAUAGCAGAGUAUAGUUCUGCCAGAUGUUUCAUUCAUUCGCUUCAGAGGGUUGUUACUGAGUCAUUAAAGAUACAGUCGGAAGUAAUCGAAAUGAUAAGCAAAGGCAGACGUCUCGUUACACAUUUUAAUCAUUCGGGGUUAGCUCAAAAAAACUGUUGGCAAUUCAAAAGGAGUUUAGUUUACUCGAACAUCAAUUAAUGCAGGAUAUCAGCACGAGGUAGAAUUCCACCUUUUACAUGUCAGAACAAAAAUGUGCUAUAUCCCUUUAUGUUGCCGAUUACGACACACUGACUAAUUUAACGACUCAUGAGUGGUGUCUGAUGGAACAAUGUGUCAAACUUUUGAAGCCAUUCGAAGAGAUAACUAAAAUCACAAGUGCUGGUCUCUCCUGCAUAUCCGAAGUAAUACCGCAUCUAGCAGCAUUGAAAAAAUACCUAUGCAAGGAUGAGACUGCGCAACGAACAGCUGAUUUACCUCAUAUGAGAGCUGCCUUAAAAUCAGAAUUGAAUUCUCGUUUUAGCUCAUUAUCUAUAGAUCCGAAUUAUCUUAUUGCAACUUUCUUGGACCCCAGAUUCAAAACAAACUAUUAAGGGACUCUCGAAGCUGAAAGAGCGCGACAAAAGAUCUUGUUAAAGUUUUUAAAAAUGACUUGCGACGAGUCCUCCAGCAGCAGUGAUACAUCGCCAUCAUCCACACCACCACCUUCUAAAAAAACCAGAAAUGAAACUGAUUCCAAUGUGACUCGCAAUUCCCACGACACCUUUUGGGAUUGUUUCAAUGAAAUAGCACAUGAAAUUAACAGUCAAAGUCAAAAUCAAGCGAAAAAUCCAAUUGCAAGAGAGAUUGACGGUUAUUUGAAGACAGUUUAUUGAUCACAACCGGGAUCCGUACGCUUGGUGGUCGGCUAAUUUACAAGAGUAUCCCAAUUUGAUGAAAUUUGCCAAAGUAUACCUUUCAGCUCCUUACGGCAGUGUUUUCAGUGAGAGGCUGUCCGUAAGCAGGUUUGAGUCUUUCCGAAGCAGGUUUGGUUUACGAAAACAAGCAAAAUCGCCUGUUGCCGGCAAACGCUGAAAAUUUGGUUUUCAUUCACCAUAAUUUACCACUUCUUAAUUUUGACUAUUAGGUAUAUGUAUUUUUACUUUUAAAAUAUUUUUAGGUGUAAAUUUUUAAUCCCUUUGCGGUUUUUUUAAUAUGUGGUUGAGUUUUUCUACUCUAGUAUACUUAAAACUUUUAAGUAGCUACAAUUUUCUUUUUUUAGUUUUUACUGUUUUAUAACGAAUAAUUUAGUUUUUCAGAUGGUUUCUAUGACUUUGUUAUCUUUAAUAAAAGCUGUUAGAAGUGUA
rnacentral:lncRNA from 1 species